rnacentral:siRNA from 1 species
UUCGGACCGCCUUGAAUUAUAA